CCCCAAAAAAAGAAAAGAAAAAAGAAAUCCUUGGUCAUGCAUCCUCCAUUUCAUCAUUGGAUGGCAAGAAAUAGAAUAAAAGAUCCUAACUGAGUUUAUGAACAUCAACUGCACUGCCAUCUUAAUUGCCUGAGAUCAUCUGUGCACGUGUUUGUUAAAUGCUAACAUUCUCCUAUAUGAUCAUCAAAUGCCAAUAUUCCUGAUCAACAUUUAGCUAAAAUGUCUCUAUUCUGCGAAAGGAUUUAUUGAAUUCUGAUUGAUUUCUCAAUUAACAGACUAACAGAGCUUUCCUUUCUGCUCCGUCACAUAAUAGUGCAGGUACUCGAACGAACUGCACAUCAUACAGUAGAGUAAAUUAUAAUUGUAUCCUAUGAGGAAACUCAAAUAUUUUCAGAUGUAAGAAGCUUGUUCGAAGACAAUACAUACUAAUACUGGACCACUUUCCCAGUUUCCCUGCACCAUAGCAUUUAAACUUGCCGCCAAUUCUGCUGGUAAAUGUCUCUUCCGGCCAUGAUCUUUUCUCACGUGCUCUACAUGUUUCACUUUGGAUCUCUGUUAUUAAGAAGUGCUAGUUAUCUUCUUUUUUAGGAGGUGAUAAUAUUUUAACUGCAUGCAGAUAAUUCCUGCCUAUGACAUUGAUUUAAGGUUAUGCUCGUUGAGCACAUGGUCAUGUCCAAAGCUUAUAUAUUUCAGGUUACGCUCAGGCAAAUUGUAGUUACUGCAUGACUUGAAUACCAUAGUUAUGCUGAACAUUGAAGUUAUCUUGUUGUUUCUUGCACGUAUAUUUAAAGCAGAAUGAAUAAAAUAAGUUUAUGAGGCCUAUACAUCAACUCUCUGCUCCACUGGUUUUUAAACCCUCCAUAACCCAAAUAUGUACAUGUUCUAUCCAUGCAUUCCUUCUGUUUUGCUUUUCUUGAUGUUAUUUGUCAGAUAUAAAAUGCUCAUGUCUAGCAUAUAUUGGGAAUUCAUUUUGAAAAAGUCAUGCAAACCUUUGCAGUAUUAACAGUUCUAAGACACUAAAAUGUUUACAUAUUGAUUGUCAACUGAGAUUUUGUAGGUUGGUCUUUUGAAGACUUUAUUAACUGUCCGGUUGAAGAAUAACAGAUCCACCAUCGAAAGAGGAUGAAAAAAGAAAGGGAGUCACAUAUAUGUCAGGAUCAAUGGGGAAACAGCACGGAUUGUCACAACAAG
rnacentral:lncRNA from 1 species